AUUUUUUUUAUUACCAGACGAGGCUUCUGGUAGCAGCGCUGAUUACAUUUACGACACGUUGAAUAUCAAAUGCUCUUUCGCUGCUGAACUAAGAGAUACGGGAAGAUAUGGAUUCACCCUUCCAGAACGUUUCAUCCAACCAACAGCCGAAGAAACAUUUGCUGGCCUUAAAGUGAUUGCUAAUGCUGUUAUAGACGGUACUUGCAACUAAAUGUGAAAAUAAAAUUACAAAAGUUUCGGCAAAUUGUUGUGGUUUUUAAUUGAUGUGAUUUUAUUCAGUUUAUGUAUAGUAGGGUGGGAAUGACCGGCACCUUUAGCACAUAAUAUUCAAAUAUCCUGAUCGUGUUUUAAACAAUUAACAACAGUCUGUGAGAGUCGUGAGGAUAUGAUUUUAUAAUUCGUUGAAAGUUCUUUGUUUACUACCCAAUGAGACGAGAAAACGGAAUGAAAAGGUGGCCCAUCUUUACCCACCCUACUACAUGUGUCAAGGUGUUCCAUCUUCCCCUACCCUACUAUAUAUGUACAUUCUGAAUUGCAUGUUUACGCAAAUGACAACAAGUUCUCAUCGAUUUUCGUUUAUUUCGGGUAUACAUUGAAGCCUAUAUAGUCAAUUAUGUUUUUCUAGUUGCGAAUUACAAGCUAAUGUACGCCAACGUGGAAUUUCGGGCGAACGAAUCCUGCCUCGAGGCCCAGCCCCGAAUUGCAGGCUCGGCCGCCCGAAAAUUCGACUACGGUACGAUUUCUACGUGUCCUACUUAAGUUCCGAGAGCCUAUUCAUAGAUUAAAGCAUUACAACAGCAGUGGCACAGGUAAAUUGAAAAAGUAGCGCGCGAUUUUUCAAAAAAAUACGAAAAUUUACAGAUGGUUCAGAAUAUGUACAGAAAUCUGGCCGCCGGCAUCGGUACAAAAAAAACGAAACAUUUUAAUCGAUUAAAAACGCAAUUGGGAGAAAAUGAACUAAUCAGCUCGGAGCAAAUUACAAGGAUUAACUAAUACUAAAUAGUGAUGUGGCGCCUCAACUUGUUAGAAGCCAAUUUUGCAUAUACCUAUCACGGAGAGGGCAUUCCGUCCUGUAAUAUAAAUUAAGUUAAUAAACGGUAUAAUUUGUUUGCUUUUAAUUUUUUUAUAGGCGCUGAUUUUUUAUAAAUUCAGAGCAGGCCAGUGAUACCCUGACCCUAUUGAUUGGAUGAAUGUAACCUAUUUAUCCUGACGUUGUUAUAACACGGGUGUUUUGUUUCAUACACUUCGUGCCCGUUUACGAGCUACCACGUAUGUAACUUUGUGAGGGAAAAUUAUUAUUUUUUGCAAUGUAUGGCAGAUACAGUGCCCAACAGUGGUGCAGUUGGUUCACAUAUGAUUACUCCUUAGGUGCAGAACUUUUAAAAAUGCAGGGUUGGUAGAUGGAUCCAAACCGCCAGUUAUUUGAAACGAAGUCAUUGGUUACAAUUAACUGAUUAAUAAAAUGCAAAAAUCAGGGGUUGACCUGCCCACCCUGCCACCCCAGGUUCGGCGCCUAUGGUAUUUUUUGGUUAGCAAUUGCAGCCAAAUUAAUCAAAUCACCAGUUAAAGUGUGCAGUCUGAUUAAAAUGCAAAUUAGGUAAUUCAGUGUAAAUUCAAAGCCGCAAUUUCAAAGCCUCAACUUCAAAGGUGCAAAAUAAAGCCGCAAAUUCUAAUGGGGCAUUUUAAAACCUCUACGUAAAAACCCAAACUUUCCCAAAAAACAUUUGCGUCCUUAAUUUGAGGCUUUGGAUUUGUGGCUUUGGUUUGUGCUCGUACUAAAUUAGGUGCACCGUGCAAGCAAGUGUAGUAAAUGCAAUACCUGCAAAUGGCUUUAGUGUGUGGUCAGC